CUGCUGCCUCCCGUAGGAGUCUGGGCCGUGUCUCAGUCCCAAUGUGGCCGGCCAACCUCUCAGUCCGGCUACUGAUCGUCGCCUUGGUGGGCCGUUGCCCCACCAACUAGCUAAUCAGACGCGAGUCCAUCUCAGAGCGAUAAAUCUUUGGCAGUCAGAGCCAUGCGACCCAACUGCAUUAUGCGGUAUUAGCAGCUGUUUCCAGCUGUUAUUCCCACUCCAAGGCAGGUUA
rnacentral:rRNA from 1 species